rnacentral:rRNA from 1 species
CAUGAAGCUGGAUUCGCUAGUAAUCGCGCAUCAGCCACGGCGCGGNGAAUACGUUCCCGGGCCUUGUACACACCGCCCGUCAAGCCAUGGAAGCCGGGAGUGCCUGAAGUGCGUGAGCGCAAGCAGCGCCCUAAGGUAAAACCGGUGACUGGGGCUAAGUCGUAACAAGGUACC